UACGUAGGGUGCGAGCGUUGUCCGGAAUUAUUGGGCGUAAAGAGCUCGUAGGCGGUUUGUCGCGUCUGCUGUGAAAACUCGGGGCUUAACCCCGGGCCUGCAGUGGGUACGGGCAGACUAGAGUGCGGUAGGGGAGACUGGAAUUCCUGGUGUAGCGGUGAAAUGCGCAGAUAUCGGGAGGAACACCGGUGGCGAAGGCGGAUCUCUGGGCCGAUACUGACACUGAGGAGCGAAAGCGUGGGGAGCGAACAGG
rnacentral:rRNA from 1 species